rnacentral:tRNA from 1 species
CCCGCGAUAGCUCAGUUGGUAGAGCGGAGGACUGUAGUGAUUUAGAACAACUGACAUCCUUAGGUCACUGGUUCGAAUCCGGUUCGCGGGA